GGUUCUGGAGUGUUCUUUUAAUUGGGCCUGAGUUUCUAUGUGCAGAAGGGCGGAAGCUGCUCAUGUUUUCCUCUUCCUUCACUCUUUCCCGUUCGAUUAGAGGUUCCGUGCUCCAAAUCACAAGGAUGUAGUUUUACGUACGACAUAAAAUCUUUGUGUUUUGUGUUUUGUUCUGGGAUUUUGGGUCCUAUAAUUUGUCGACAAGAAACGAACGAGGAAAUUAAGGUUGUUUUUCUUGGGUAUUUUUUGGAUUUUGUUUGAAUUGAAGGAGUUGGAAGGAGGGAGGAGAAAUGGCGGAUGGGGAAGAGAAAGGCAGUGACUUCUAUGCAGUUUUGGGGUUGGAAAAGGAAUGCACAGACUCGGAGCUCAGAAAUGCCUAUAAGAAACUUGCACUGAGAUGGCACCCGGAUCGGUGUUCGGCCUCCGGAAAUUCUAAGUUCGUGGAGGAAGCCAAGAAGAAAUUCCAGGACAUCCAAGAAGCCUAUUCUGUUUUAUCUGACGCGAAUAAGAGGUUUCUGUACGAUGUUGGAGCCUACGGCAGUGAUGAUGACGAAAACAAUGGGAUGGGUGAGUUUUUGGACGAGAUGGCAAUGAUGAUGCGCCAAACGAAGCCUAAUGAAAAUGGGCAGGAGACCUUUGAAGAAUUGCAAAAUCUCUUUGAUGAAAUGUUUGAAGGGGAUACUGGGAGUUAUGGGCCAGUCUCUCACCCUCCUAGUUCCUGUUCUACGUCUUCAUAUGUGUCCUACUGUGAAAGUUCAAGUUCCAGUACUAAGCGGAAUUGCUCUGAAAUGAACUAUGAGAAGGCGACCUUGGACGAUCCUUCUGGCUUCGACACUCAAUUUCAGAGCUUUUGUUUUGGGGUGAAACUGGUGAAGGCAUUAUCUUCUUAAAUAAAAUAACAUUUGGGGCAAACAAAUGUGGACUCUGAACUUAAGCCUUAAGGUGGAAAGCCUUCAAGACAUCGGGGAGGGGACGGCAGCAAGAGAAGUGACUCGCGCAGAAGCCACCGGUAAUCGAAGGCAUGGCAGGAAACAAAAGGUUACAUCUGGUAAUGAUGUUUCUUCAAAUGACUACUCUGGUAUAUCAGCUAGAUGAAGUUAUUGAUCCUGUUACUUAGGGACUUAUUUGGGAACUUAAUUGGCAAAUUUUUAAAUCACCCUGGAGAGUGCAGAAGAGUAACACCACCACCACCACGAGGAAUUUACUUGUUACUUUAAGGCAGCAUUGUAGGGUUUAGCAGGGGGUGGGAUGGGUUUAGGGCUUAAGCUUUCAUUGUUGCAAUUCCUGCCAUGCCAUACCAUUAGUGGUAAUGGCAUUGUUUCAAAGUCUUCAAUUGUAAUCUUAGUUACCCAUUGAUGUUGGGAUUUCAGUAGUUCCCUUUUCUUUAUUAUUUCAAAUCGGAAAAAUACUUGACUCGUUACAUGUAGGAUGUAGUUUUUCUCAGAUGGACAAAUCAGUUUGACAUGUGCAGAAGAUUUCCUUUUGUUUCGCUUC